rnacentral:lncRNA from 1 species
ACAGGCAGCCCCAGCCUGUCACACACAACUGAAGACCCCUCCCUGAGGCUACCAUGGCAGGAAUCCCAGCUACUCUACACACCUUCAUCUGUCACUUCAGAAAGAGCAGGGUUAAGUCAGAGGGCGCUCCGCUUGCAGCAACACCAAGACUAAAGACAUGAGUUUAAUACCUGGGAUCGCCAUUGGGGAAGAAGACAACUGACUCCCGGAAGUUGUUUUCUGACUUCAACAUGUGCAUUCUAGAACUCACCAUCUUCCCCAUAAAUAAAUCAAUCUAAUAUUUCUUUCUU